rnacentral:lncRNA from 1 species
GAGUCUGAGCAACUACUAAACUUUCUAUGGAGCAAAAAAUGCAAAAGAUGUUUCUUUGGUUUGGAUCAUUGGGAAAUUAUUCUUUGGAUUGGUGCAGUCAGGGGCUUGGUGCUGCUUUGAUGAAUUCAACCGAAUCAGUAUAGAAGUCCUCUCGGUCAUUGCCUCGCAGAUCCUGGCGAUCAAGAUUGCCAAAAGCAGCUAUUCUGUCAGGUUUGUGUUGGCGUGAUUCUAGUGGGCCCAACAGGCGGAGGAAAGACGACAGUCAGGAAAAUUUUAGAGAAAGCAUUGAUAACACUUCCAGUUGCUUCUACCUUACUCGUGAAAGAGAGGCAAUGUGAUUCAAAGAAAAAUUCUCAUAGCAUUAAGUUUCUAUUCCCCAAACCUUUGCAUUUUUGGUGACUGGAAGUUAUAUAAUGAUUGUUAGAGGUUGGAAGGGGACUGGAGAGAUGGCUCUGCAGUUAAGAGUCCUGGCUGCCCCUCCAAAGAUCCCCCCCUCCCCAGCACCCACAUGGCAGCUCACACCUGUCUGUAGCUACUGUUCCACAGGAUCUGAUGCCCUCUUCUGGCUUCUAUAGCACAAGCAUGCAUACAGUACACAGGCACACAUGCAGGCAGAACACCCAUGCACAUAAAAUAAAAUUUAAAUUUAAAACUAAAAUAAUUGUUAGUCUUUGUCUCUUAGCUAGUUGGUGUAAUACGCUGUGUUUUGACAAAUGUAUUACUGUUAAAAACAUAUUAAUUGUCCAUGGAUUCUCAGGAAUCUAUGUACAUGUUUUAAUGCAAUUUAAAAUAAAAUACUCUACUAAG